rfam:Schistosoma margrebowiei strain Zambia genome assembly, scaffold: SMRZ_contig0002212
AUCCAGCUUACGAGUCAUAACUAAAACGAAACGCGCGUCCUGGAU